UACAGAGGCCCCAAGCGUUACUGAGAAUCACUGGGCGUAAAGGGUGCGUAGGCGGGUCUUUAAGUCAGGGGUGAAAUCCCGGAGCUCAACUCCAGAACUGCCUUUGAUACUGAAGAUCUUGAGUUCGGGAGAGGUGAGUGGAACUGCGAGUGUAGAGGUGAAAUUCGUAGAUAUUCGCAAGAACACCAGUGGCGAAGGCGGCUCACUGGCCCGAUACUGACGCUGAGGCACGAAAGCGUGGGGAGCAAACAGG
rnacentral:rRNA from 1 species